UCCCAAGAUGCACUUGUCAAGGGGGUGCAGGAAGCCAUUUUGUUAUGUUUGCUAUGUGGCUAGCGCCACAUCUCCAGCGGUAGCAUAAUGAUGGAUAUUUUGAGAUUGAAUAUAGCUUUUAAUUUGUUUCACACAUGGAAGUCUGAAAUAUAUAACAUUUAAUAUUUGCCUAAUUUUAAUACGGUCCAGGGAGGGACGCAGUGGAUAUACUAAAUUGUUUGUUUCGCUAACUAAACUAGGCUAGCUAACGCGUUAGCUUACUUCAACGAAAUCUAUUUUUCAGUUGUUCGGUUCAUCCAAAAGUUUCUCUUUUUUUGAGUUUUAUGGCUUUGGUCUAGGUAUCUACUUUUGUUCAAGUGAGGGAUCGGACUAAGUGGUGCAUCGUACAUGAAUUAAGAAACAGGGUCAGAGUUGUAUAAUCCAACUUUAGGCUCGUUUGAGAGGACGAGUAGAAGUGCCGCUAACAACUCUUCACAACAACGGCCCUCUGCAUUGAUCUAAUCAUGGCAGAAGACAUACGACAGGACAAGAAAGCCAACUUCUCUGCUCUGACGGAGCACAACAACAACGGAGUGACAAAGAUUUCUGGCCUGGCCUCCAACAAAACUGGCGCCUCCAAGAAAUUAGUCAUUAAAAAUUUCAAAGACAGGCCAAAGCUAGCGGACAACUACACUGAGGACACCUGGCUGAAGCUGAGGGAUGCGGUAGGAGCCAUCCAGAACAGCACCUCCAUCAAGUACAACCUUGAGGAACUCUACCAGGCGGUGGAGAACCUGUGUUCCUAUAAAGUCUCCCCCACACUGUACAAGCAGCUCCGUCAGGUCUGUGAGGACCAUGUCCAGGCCCAGAUACAUCAGUUCAGAGAAGAGUCCCUGGACAGCCUGUCUUUCCUGAAGAGGAUGAACCGAUGUUGGCAGGACCACUGCAGACAGACGAUCAUGAUCCGGAGUAUCUUUCUGUUCCUGGAUCGUACCUACGUGCUCCAGAACUCCCUGCUCCCCUCCAUCUGGGAUACCGGGCUGGAACUCUUCCGGAACCACAUCGUGAGUGACGGGGCUGUCCAGAAGCGCACGGUCGACGGGAUCCUGGAACAGAUCGAACGCGAACGCAACGGAGAGACAGUGGACCGCAGCCUUCUCCGCAGCCUACUGGGCAUGCUCUCAGACCUGCAGGUGUAUAAAGAGUCGUUUGAGGAGCGUUUUUUGAUGGAGACUGAUUCUGUACGCUGCAGAGGGACAGAGACUGAUGCAGGAACGAGACGUGCCGGAGUACCUGCAUCAUGUGGCUCGUCGGUUGGAAGAAGAGAACGAUCGUGUCAUCAGCUACCUCGACCAGAGCACUCAGAAGCCACUUAUCUCUAAUGUGGAGAAGCAGCUGCUUGGAGAACACAUGACGGCCAUCUUACAGAAAGGUCUCAGUAUUCUGUUAGACGGUAACCGGGUGAUGGAGCUGGCUCUGCUCUACCAGCUCUUCAGUAAGGUGAACUUGACUCCCCACUCUGCUGCAGCACUGGAGAGACUACAUCAAGAGUUUUGGUGGUGAGAUUGUGGGCACCCCAGAGAAGGAUAAGGACAUGGUUCAAGACCUGUUGGACUUUAAGGAUAAGAUGGACAACGUGGCCCAGGGCUGUUUCAACAGAAACGAGAGCUUCAUCAACGCUAUGAAGGAGGCCUUUGAAGCUUUCAUCAACAACAGACCCAACAAACCUGCUGAACUCAUCGUACGUGGACUGUAAUUGAGGGCGGGCAACUCUACCGAGGAGGAGAUGGAGAGUAGACAAUAUCAUGAUCAUCUUCCGCUUCAUCCACGGGAAGGAUAACUGUUGAGGCCUUUUAUAAGAAACCUGGCCAAACGCCUGCUGGUGGGGAAGAGUGCCUCUAUAACGCUGAGAAGACCAUGCUGUCCAAACUCAAACACGAGUGUGGAGCGGCCUUCACCAGUAAGCUGGAGGGGAUGUUUAAGGACAUGGAGCUCUCCAAAGACGUUAUGAUCCAGUUCAAGCAGUACACCCAGAACCAGAGUGAGCCCAGCCAGCUGGAGCUGACAGUCAACAUCCUCACCAUGGGCUACUGGCCCUCCUACACUCCUAUGGAGGUCCACCUGCCCCCUGAGAUGGUGAAGCUCCAGGAGGUAUUCAAGCUGUUCUAUCUGGGGAAACACAGUGGCAGGAAGCUCCAGUGGCAGCCCACCCUGGGCCACGCUGUUCUGAAGACUGAGUUUAAAGAGGGUAAGAAGGAGCUGCAGGUGUCUCUGUUCCAGAUGUUGUCUCUGUGUGUCUGUCUACAGGGGGAGGAGUUCAGCUGCAGGUGUCUCUGUUCCACUGGAUGUGUCUCUGAGGGUGAGUUGAGGCGUACCCUGCAGUCUCUGGCCUGUGGGAAGGCGCGCGUCCUCAAUAAGAGUCCCCGGGGGAAGGACAUAGAAGACGGAGACCGCUUCAACUUCAACAACGACUUCAGACACAAACUGUUCCGCAUCAAGAUCAACCAGAUUCAGAUGAAGGAAACGGUAGAGGAGCAGGUGAGCACCACAGAGCGUGUGUUUCAGGACAGACAGUACCAGAUCGACGCUGCCGUUGUCCGCAUCAUGAAGAUGAGGAAGACCCUGGGCCACAACCUGUUGGUGUCAGAACUAUACAACCAGCUCAAGUUCCCCGUCAAGCCUGGAGACCUGAAAAAGCGGAUUGAGUCGCUGAUUGACAGAGACUACAUGGAGAGAGACAAGGAGAGUCCCAACCAGUACCACUAUGUGGCCUGAGGGGGGCGCCACCUCCAUCCUCCACCCCUCCGGUGCCCUGCCAGUGGGCUCAGCGAGUCAGCAUCAGCUGGCCCUGAUAUAGCCCCAUCUCUCCUUGAACUGCCCCACCCCCUCACCGCCCCUCCCCCCCCCUGCUUCUGAGGCCAGCUCUGAGAGGGCCAGUCUGGAGGCCAGUGCCAAACCUGGUCCAACACCAGCCCAGCCAACACCACCCUCAUUGGGGGACUCAGAGCAGGCUGGGUCCUGGGGCUGGAGGAGUCUGUCUGGUGGGUGGAAGGCCGGCCGGCACACAUCAUCCGCUGACGACGCUAACAACGAGAACAAUGUAGCACUUUCUCAAAUGUGUUGUUUUGGGAGGGGGGUGGGGUGGGGGGGUCUGUCCACAUCUAUCUGUCUCAGUUCCACUGUAGUUUCGCUCCUGUUGAUUAUUCAGGUUUUUUCUGUGAGGUAACAUAACAUGUACCAGCCUGGGGUAACACUGUGGCAGUGUUGUCAGACAGGGUACAGGAACAGGGGGGGGUUUCACAUGGAUACCGAUUACAAGGAGUGACGAGGGGAGGGAUGCUUUUGGGUCGGGGGACACUCUCUCCUGUAUUUUGACCAACACUUUCCACGCUCUGAAUUUUGUAGACCAGAUUGUAUUCUUUGUAAGAGAGAGAAAGGAAACAUGAAUAAAUUGAUAUUUAAUGAAGAGUUAA